GAGAGAGACAUGCGCGCAUAUCAAUAAGCGGAGGAAAAGAAACUAACAAGGAUUCCCUUAGUAACGGCGAGUGAAGCGGGAAGAGCUCAAAUUUGAAAUCUUCAAGGUUUUACCUUGACGAAUUGUAGUUUAAAGAAGUGUUUUCUGCCUGAAGUUUUGGUAAAAGUUCUUUGGAAUAGGACAUCAUAGAGGGUGAGAAUCCCGUAUUUGACCAUUAUUUUCAGCUUUGUGAUACACUUUCAAAGAGUCGGAUUGUUUGGGAAUGCAGUCCAAAAUGGGUGGUAAAUUUCAUCUAAAGCUAAAUAUUGGCGAGAGACCGAUAGCGAACAAGUACCGUGAGGGAAAGAUGAAAAGAACUUUGAAAAGAGAGUUAAACAGUACGUGAAAUUGUCAAAAGGGAAGCGUUUGACACCAGUGUUGUUUUCUCGAAAAUCAAUUAAAAAUGGCUCGAUUUUGUAUUGCUGAGACCUUAAAAGCUCACUGUACAUUUUUCGUGUCUUUUUUAAUGCACUUUUCGUUUAACAAGUCAACAUCAGUUUCUUUUGUUGUAAAAGGGUCAUUGGAAGGUGGCUUUCUUUUCGGAGAAAGUGUUUAUAGCCUUUGGCCUCUGCAAUCGGAGAGACUGAGGUCUGCAGCGUAGACUCUUCGGGGUUAGAUACAUUUGUGCUAAGUUAUAGCUUUUUAUAGACAACUUGUUGACUAUAAUUAGUCUUGUAGCUUACUCGCUUAUGCUAUUUUACCUACGCUUAGGAUGUUGAAGAUGUAGCACAUCAU
rnacentral:rRNA from 1 species